rnacentral:SRP_RNA from 1 species
GCUGAGCUCGGUAACGUAGGCUUGUCACCAAGUGGAGCAUUAAGGUAUUUGAAUAAUUUGGUAUUGAAUUCAAGGUUUACAUUAUGAGCUAGCUUUGAUUUGCCCGUUUCCAAGUUGAGCAGUGGAUGCUAUGUUUCAGGCUAACGCUUGAAUCAUAUUCUCCCUAAACUUGAGGGUAAUGCGUGAGGCUGGUUUCACAGAGCAACGAUUACCUCUCACUCUCAACGGUGGAAGGAUUACAAGUCAUUUGCUCAUAUAGUCAAUUAGCCUUGGAAUCCACCAAAUUCAACAAAUAUUUUU